rnacentral:rRNA from 1 species
GACGAACGCUGGCGGCGCGCUUAACACAUGCAAGUCGAGCGAAGCGGCGGACGGGUGAGUAACACGUGAGUAACCUGCCUUAGACAUUGGGAUAGCCUCGGGAAACCGGGAUUAAUACCACAUGGUCUAAGAUGGACUCGGGUCCCAUUCGCUAGUUGGUGAGGUAACGGCCCACCAAGGCGACGAUGGGUAGCCGGCCUGAGAGGGUGAACGGCCACAGUGGAACUGAGAAACGGUCCAAACUCUACGUGAGGCAGCAGUGGGGAAUAGUGCACAAUGGGCGAAAGCCUGAUGCAGCGACGCCGCGUGGGGGAUGAAGGCUUUCGGGGUGUAAACCUCUUUCGCUAUCGAACGGGUAGGUGGAGAAGAAGCGCCGGCUAACUACGUGCCAGCCGCCGCGGUAAUUC